GCAUAUCAAUAAGCGGAGGAAAAAGAAACUCACAAGGAUUCCCCUAGUAACUGCGAGUGAAGCGGGAAAAGCUCAAAUUUAAAAUCUGAUAGUCUUUGGCUGUCCGAGUUGUAAUCUAGAGAAGUGUUAUCCGCGUUGGACCGUGUACAAGUCUCCUGGAAUGGAGCAUCAUAGAGGGUGAGAAUCCCGUCUUUGACACGGACUACCAGUGCUUUGUGAUGCGCUCUCAAAGAGUCGAGUUGUUUGGGAAUGCAGCUCAAAAUGGGUGGUAAAUUCCAUCUAAAGCUAAAUAUUGGCGAGAGACCGAUAGCGAACAAGUACCGUGAGGGAAAGAUGAAAAGAACUUUGGAAAGAGAGUUAAACAGUACGUGAAAUUGCUGAAAGGGAAACGCUUGAAGUCAGUCACGUUGGCUGGAAAUCAACCUUGCUUCUGCUGGGCGUACUUUCUAGUUAACGGGUCAGCAUCAAUUUUGACCAUUGGAAAAAAUUCAGAGGAAAGUGGCAUCUUCGGAUGUGUUAUAGCCUUUGUCUGCAUACAAUGGUUGGGAUUGAGGAUCUCAGCACGCCGCAAGGCCGGGUUUCGACCACGUUCGUGCUUAGGAUGCUGGCAUAAUGGCUUUAAUCGACCCGUCUUGAAACACGGACCAAGGAGUCUAACAUGCCUGCGAGUGUUUGGGUGGUAAACUCAAGCGCGCAAUGAAAGUGAAAGUUGAGAUCCCUGUCGUGGGGAGCAUCGACGCCCGGACCAGACCUUUUGUGACGGAUCCGCGGUAGAGCAUGUAUGUUGGGACCCGAAAGAUGGUGAACUAUGCCUGAAUAGGGUGAAGCCAGAGGAAACUCUGGUGGAGGCUCGUAGCGAUUCUGACGUGCAAAUCGAUCGUCAAAUUUGGGUAUAGGGGCGAAAGACUAAUUCGACCCAUUCUAGUAGCUGGGUUCCUGCCGAAGUUU
rnacentral:rRNA from 1 species